rnacentral:rRNA from 1 species
AUACGGAGGGGGCUAGCGUUGUUCGGAAUUACUGGGCGUAAAGGGCGCGUAGGCGGACCAUCAAGUCAGGGGUGAAAGGCCUGGGCUCAACCCGGGAACUGCCCUUGAAACUAAAGGUCUAGAGGCCGAGAGAGGUUAGCGGAAUUCCCAGUGUAGAGGUGAAAUUCGUAGAUAUUGGGAAGAACACCAGUGGCGAAGGCGGCUAUCUGGCUCGGUACUGACGCUGAGGCGCGAAAGCGUGGGGAGCAAACAGGAUUAGAUACCCCGGUAGUCC